CGAGCGCUUCACUUCGGUGAGGAGCGGCGGACGGGUUAGUAACGCGUGGGAACAUACCCUUUUCUAAGGAAUAGCCACUGGAAACGGUGAGUAAUACCUUAUACGCCCUUCGGGGGAAAGAUUUAUCGGUGAAGGAUUGGCCCGCGUUAGAUUAGUUUGUUGGUGGGGUAAUGGCCUACCAAGACUACGAUCUAUAGCUGGUUUGAGAGGAUGAUCAGCAACACUGGGACUGAGACACGGCCCAG
rnacentral:rRNA from 1 species